AUGGUGCCAGGGCAGAAUCUGAGAACGCAGAAACAGAGAGAGACAGAGAGACAGAUCCAAUCUCAGAGGGGCUCUUGCCCCCUCCCACACCAUGGGAGCCAAGGACCAGAGGGGAAACCCUUCUCCCAUCUAGGGAGAAGGUCAAUGAAGAAGAAGAAGAAGAAGAAGGGGGGCUCUCUCCUCCUUGCUUCCGGUGGUGCCAACACCUCCAUCACCAUCACCGCGAUCUUCAACAACACCUCCAUCAUCUUCACCAACAUCUCCAUCACCUUCCCCCAUCUAUAUUCAGCGGUCCACUCUCCCGCAACCCGCUGUACCCUCUACUUGAACAUGGUGCUUUAUGCUUCAUAUUAUUAUCCAAUGAUGUGUUGCCAUCCUAUGAUGUCUGAGUAG
rnacentral:rRNA from 1 species